GAAGAUUUGGCCUUGGUCUCUCCCACCAUUUCCCCCGUAACCAGGUCUGUGCCACCUGCUGGGGCCUGGGGAAGCUACAGUGAUCCUGCCCCUUUCCUGGCCACACAUUUUCUGGGAUGUGUGUAAAUGAAAACACCUUACUAAAUAUUUGUUGUUUCGUUCUAGGAAACCAAAAUGGUGCUGUUGGCUGUACUGGGCAAGGCCUUUCUGGACGGAGAACAGAAAAUACAGAAUCAGCUAUAUUUUUGGCUGGCAUGUGAUGAUAUCCUGGGGAGACUGAUGGGUAGAUAGAGAAGUGCAUAUAUCUUUGCUCUUAUUUACACCAAGGUAAGUCAAAAAUGUGUAAAAAGCACUGGAAAACACAAGAUGAG
rnacentral:lncRNA from 1 species